rnacentral:rRNA from 1 species
AUUGAACGCUGGCGGCAUGCCUUACACAUGCAAGUCGAACGGUAACAGGUCUUCGGAUGCUGACGAGUGGCGAACGGGUGAGUAAUACAUCGGAACGUGCCUAGUAGUGGGGGAUAACUACUCGAAAGAGUGGCUAAUACCGCAUGAGAUCUACGGAUGAAAGCAGGGGAUCGCAAGACCUUGUGCUACUAGAGCGGCCGAUGGCAGAUUAGGUAGCUGGUGGGAUAAAAGCUUACCAAGCCGACGAUCUGUAGCUGGUCUGAGAGGACGAUCAGCCACACUGGGACUGGGACACAGCCCAGACACCUACGGGAGGCAGCAGUGGGGACUUUUACACGAGGGGCGCAAGCCUGAUCCAGCAAUGCCGCGUGCAGGAUGAGGGCCUUCGGGUUGUAAACGGCUUUUGUACGGAACGAAAAGCCCCGGGUUAAUACCCGAGGGUCAUGACGGUACCGUAAGAAUAAGCACCGGCUAACUACGUGCCAGCCGCCGCCGUAA